rnacentral:tRNA from 1 species
GCGGGCAUCGUAUAAUGGCUAUUACCUCAGCCUUCCAAGCUGAUGAUGCGGGUUCGUACUCCGUGCCCGCUCCA